CGACGAGGGCAGCGCCGGGUUUGACGCCGGACGGGGCGGCGGGGGAUGAGGGCGGCACUGUGUUUGACGCCGGGCUUAAGUACCUCGAGGCCGUCAAUGGCAACGUGCUUGUGUAUCCCAGUUUCAUCGCCUAUCCUUUCACGAUUUCGCUAGACACGUUCUCUGGCGGGUAGCUGCACACAACCACAGGAGGAGGUGGUGUUGUGGAAGAAUACGGCCUGGGCAAAGCCAUACUCUUGCAUUCAACUGCAGAAGUUGAUACCCAGCUUCUUCAGACAAGUACUUGACUGUUCUUUUAGUUCUUCCCACACUCAAGUACAGUCUGAACAAGUAACCGCCUAUGCCGUGGCCAUCCACCGCGUGGAGGACCUCUUGGGCACUUCCGUCGCAUUGUGGGUUGAGCUUUUGCAGACCGCCGCCUGCUGGAUGCUUCUUCCCUUUAUCCUUGGUGUGCAAGACAUGUUAUUUCUAAAAGUGAUGCCCACUGAUGUGUUUGAUACUUCGACUUUGACAUGAUCUCCCCCUUUUAACCAGUUUAAGGUAUCGAAGAAACUUUAUCUUGAGCAAAGAGAGCUUUCUUCCUUAUUAGGUCGCUUUAGAGGGUAAGUAAGCUAUUCAGGAUGGCUCGUUGGUUCCAAGGUUCUAUGGUUCAUACCUACUGUCUGUAGGAAGGAGAUUUUUUUGUUUGAUGAAGGUUCUUUAUUUACUAGAAUAGCAGGGUAUUUUAACUUGUAAUUCUAUGUUAUUUGAUUAGAUAAUGGUACUCAGACGAAAGAAAUAAUUUGUUUAACACCAGAGAUGUGUGUGUGUGUGUGUGUGUGUGUGCGCGUGUGUGUGUUCUGAUCCAUUUUCUACACCUUGAGAUACAGAUCAGCAUGCGUGUGUGCUGCGCUUUGGGGGGGGACAACAAAGGAGGUCGCCUUGAAACUAUGAAAGAGCAAGGGAGGCCGGAAGAGUGCAUCACUACACUGCUGCUGCCCUAUUUCUCCUUAUACUGCUGCCGACUCGCCUUCGUGCGGCGCUAUUUCCAUAGUUGACAAUCAGCAGGAAGAGGAGGAAGGAGAUACAUAGAUGAAUGAGGAAGAGGAGAUCUCGGCCAGUGCACCGCAUCUUCCAUAGGCUUUUGUGGUAGGAGGAUUAUAUCCCCAACAUCCUCCUCCAAGCCUGCAACUACUGCCUUACAGUUUUUACUUUCACGCUUACUACUCAAGUAAUAACCACAUUAUGAAAUGGGCGAUAAUCAGCGACCCUAUUUACAUCAAUGAUGAUGAAGGUAGCCGCCGCUAUAAACGCCAACGUGCCAAAAAGACAAGGGUUAGAGCUCUGUGUAGCGAACCAUGUCUUUGUGAGAGGACCUUAACAAGAGUUUGGCCCAUGAGCUUGCGGAUACGUGCUUUCUUGACCUUGCGACACACCGUCCUCUUCCACCGGCCGCCUAACAGGUAGAUCAUGGAGGCUGGUUCUCACAUUUCUGUUUGGGGAAUUCUUCAAUUGAGAAAUUGAAAUGACUGCUGGUUAGGUAAUUAGUUCACUGAAAGGAGUGUCAUACCUCAUCUCUUCAUGCAAAUAUAGUACAUCAAAUUGUCUAUUUGUUUUGUGUGCUCCUUGGAGAUGUUAACUGAACUUCAAAAUAAAUCAGUUGUGUCGGGUGGUAGGUGCGACAUAUGCCAACGG